AAACCGGGAUUCCCCUUUGGCCAUCUCUCAUUCUUUCAAUUCUAAAGAUGGAGACUGGCGAACGGCGAUGGGGUCUGCGGUGGGCGGUGUUUCGUCGCGACAGACUCUAGGAAAUUUCACGAUAGAACUAGCUUUAGGCGCUUGAGCCUUGCCGUCUUUUUGGGGUGUGGCCUGUCUCCGUCUGCCAAAGGCUUUGAGCUUCCUGGUGUUCAUCGUACCUCCGCUUGGUCCUGUCGUGACUAAACCACGACAGCAGGAAAAAAAAAAAAGCAGCUAGCCAAGUUGCUGAGGAAUUACGGUGUGCAGAGCCCUCGCAGCUCCUUCUCUUGGGAACUCCUGGUCUGGUUAGGUUCUCAGCGAGGAAACAGCCUCCCACCCCGCCCGAUUCCACCUAAUUAACUCAAGGGCCAGCUCCUUUUGCUGGCCUCCCUGCUUCCACGGAGCAGUUAGGCCCGCCUAAACUCAGCGAGCGUUUCUGGAGCACCUUGAGGAUAGGGACCAAGUAACAGAGUCCGGGUGUUAAGGUUAUGAUAGUAGUUAACGUUUUUGGAAAGAGACUGUGUCAGGCUCUGUGCUAAGAACUUUACAUGAAGUAUUUAUUCCUCAUGACUGUGAGCUCCUCUAGGACACUGAAAAAGCAUCCUAACAUGCUCAAGACAGGAUAGGAAAUGGUCCUCUGGCUUGAAAGACUCAGCAUCCAGAAGUAGUACCUCACUCUCCAUCCAGUGGUCACCCCCCAGAAAUGUGCUCUCCCUGUCUCACCAGGCCCUACCCACCUGCCUGGGAGCUGCCUGCCUCUUGAUGUGCUGACACCUGCUCCUGCUGCUGCUGCUGCUGCUGCU
rnacentral:lncRNA from 1 species